GGGCUAUAGCAACGCUGCUUUAGCAACAAUUUUAUUAAUGUUGCUAUAAGUAUGUUUAUAGCUACGGUUUCAUGUUGUUGAUAAAGUUACAUUUUAAAUAUAUAGCAACGACAUGUAAAUCGUUAAGUUGAAUAAAGUAUAAAUGGGUUAAAAAAAAAAAACUAAAGUCGCUUACUAAAACUAAAAGGAAAUUUUCAUUGAAGCGGGUUUGAGAAACUAAGAGUGUUUUUUUUCUCACGGUUUUAACCUAGAUUUACAAAACUGAUAAUCAUAUCUUCGAUUGUUCUUCUUCUUUUUCUAAUCGCCGUUCUCCUCCUUCUCCUUCUCCUUUCUUCUUUAUUAAAUUUAAUUUCAUCAUCAACUAGUUGCUUGAAUUUCAAAAUUGGGCACCUUCUAUUGAUCUAUUUUCUAUAAUUGAGUUUGGAAUUCGUUAGAUUGGAAUUAUCGUUGAUUUGGUUUUGCGGGUUAACAAUUGAUUAAUUGAUAUAUUAAAUUGAAUGGGCACCUUCAUCUAGGCUCACAAAACUAUUCAUCGUCACUUUGACUAUUUGCCGUUCUUCAACGAAACUUUGGAUGGUAGGAAGAGCAUAGAUCGAAGUUCAUGUGGACUGAGUUUGGACGAAUAAAUUAAAUGUUAGAUAAAUUCUAGAUUUCUUGAACUAUUAGUUCUUUUUGGAGAUUCAUUAGCUUUCUUAAUUGAUUUAUUUAUAUUAUAGUAAUGGUUUUUUUAUUAGAAUGAUUGUUAAGGAUAUUUUAUUUUUAAAUUUUAUUUCUUGACAAAGAGAACAAUGAAAAUUUUAUUGUAAAAAAAAGUAAAACUUAAUUUGAAAUUAGAGUUUUACUUUUGAAA